CUCACAGCUGGAAGCAAGUGGAAACCAGCUAUCUGUGUGGUCAUUGUGGAGGUAUUCAACACCGGGACUAUACUGCUAGGCAAGCUAGCACUUGAUGGCGGCAUGUUCGUAUUCUCCUUGCUCUCAUACAGAAGUGUUCUUGGUGCCGUUUUCAUGUUGCCAUUUGCCCUAUUCCUUGAAAGAGGGAGGUGGAAAGAGUUGAACAUGAAAGCUCUUGGAUGGCUCUUUAUCAAUGCAUUUGUUGGAUACUCUCUGCCCAUGGCAUUAUACUACUACGGGCUCCACGACACGACUGCUUCAUAUGGUGUGGUCUUCUCCAGUCUGACUCCCCUCUUCACCUUUGUCCUUUCACUAUUGCUUGGCAUGGAGAGCUUGCGCCUCAAGUCUAAGGAGGGCAGCGCAAAAGUGGUUGGGGCACUGGUGUGCUUUGCUGGGGCUCUUCUGAUUAGCCUGUACAAGGGAGAAGAACUUCAUCUCUUGUCUCCAGUUUUAAAGGGCAUCACUAAGAGUUCUCAUGGAGUAGCCGGAGGACACCACCACUCGAGGGGCACCUUGCUUUUGCUGGGAGAUAGCAUCUGCUAUGCGUUUUGGUACCCUAUCCAGGUCAAAGUUCUAAAGGUCUACCCAUGGAAACACUGGUCAACUGUAUUGACCUGUGUUCUAGGUGGUUUGCAAACCUGUGCCGUAGGAAUAAUUAUGAGAAGGGACAAACUGGCUUGGCAAGUUGGAUGGAACAUCCAACUAUUAACAAUUGUUUACUCAGCUGCACUUGGCACAGCAGCCAAGUAUUGGUUGAAUCUCUAUGCCGUGGAAAAACGGGGCCCAGUUUUUCCACCCAUGUUCAGCACUCUGUCAAUUAUCUUCACGAUGGUUCUUGGGGCACUACUACUAGGAGAAACUCUCACAGUUGGCAGCUUGUUGGGCAGUGCGUUUGUUUUCAUUGGACUGUACACGUACCUCUAUGGAAAGGCAAGAGAGGUACAUGCAAAGACAGCACCAGGUUCAAGCCAUGAAAGUCUUCAAGUCCAACCUGUCCCUGAUUCAAAGUGUGACGAUCCAGAAUCGGGUCCUUGA
rnacentral:rRNA from 1 species